rnacentral:tRNA from 1 species
GGGGCAUUAGCUCAGCUGGCUAGAGCACUACGCUGGCAGCGUAGGGGUCAUCGGUUCGAAUCCGAUAUGCUCCACAA